UAUAGUUGUAGCUUAUAUUAAAAUUAUAAUCAAAAAAUUAUUGCACAUUUAACUUGAAGAAUACAUUCUGAAUAAUGCAAUAUUAAUUUGAAGCUAAAUUCUAAAUUAUUUCUUUUAUAUAUCUUACUAGGCUAAAACUUUCUUGAUAAUUGAAAUGUAUUCAGUUUUAGACCAUCAAGGAUUGUUUCAUGUUUCUAUUCAAUUGAAUUAAUUUUAAAUAUUUAGCUGCCUGUUAUUUUUAUCUCGAAGAUAGUAAAUAAAAAAUAUUCAUUUGUAAUCAUUAUCAAUAGAAAUUAAUUCAGUAUUUCUUUUCCAAGAGAGCUUCGACAGUAGCUCUGAUUACACUAUGAAGUGUUCAUAGGUCAAAAUAAUCACCCUCGUGUGUAGAUUUCAAUGUAAACAAAAUUGAAUAAUUUUUCUAGAAUUAGCUAUUAAUAAACAAAUUUUUAAUGUUUUAUAAUUUACUUCAUUUUUGAUAUUAUUAUUUGUUCAUUUAAUCUUAGUUUUAAGGAAUUUUUAAUUUAAAGGUGAAAUGUGUCUACAUGAAUUACAAGAACCUAUUGAUGAUUUAACUGUAUCAUAUAAAGAAGUAGAUCAAGGAAACGAAAUGAAUAUGAUACUGAUCAAUUCUCAGAUAUUAAAUCAUUAUCUACAAUUUAGACAGUUUAAAUACCUUGAUGAUUGAACAUGAUUACGUUAAAGAACAACAGUCAGAUAUUGAGUUUAAUCCUUCAGAACAUAGUGAUGAUGAUUUUUAUCUAUCAAAUGAUAGUGAUGAUACAGACAAUAUGGAUAAUGAUGUUGAAAAUACAUCAGUAGAUGAGGAUUAAAAUCAAGUUCCUAAUGAUUAUGAUAAAAUAGAAGAUGAUGUAGUCACAGCUUUUAUUGCUGCUAGUUCCGAAAGAAAUAGAAACCAUCCUCCUAAUUUAAAUGUAGGAAGUAAUGUUCUUAUUGUUGAAUUAUCUUUUCAUCCAUGUACUAAUAUUAUUGCUACUGUUCUUUCAAAUGGAAAUAUUUCUAUGUAAAAUGACAAAGAAAAAAAUGACUUUUUAAGAACUAAGAUAAUGUUCACUUAAAAAAAGUAAUGCUUUUAGAAUUCGAUCAAUUGGGUAAUUACAUUUAUUCAGCUUGUAAGAAUAAUAUUUCUGUAUCUGAUACAGAAACUGUGGAAAUGAAAGUUUAUUUGAAAAAGCUCACCGAGAAGGGUAGAAAUUAAGACAAUUAUUUUUAAAUAUUUGAUGUUGCAAUUUUUCUUUGAUUUUAGAGGUUUUGUGACUUCAUUAUGCCUUAUUGAUAAUAAUACAUUUGCAACUGGAGAUGAAGAUGGUUUAAUUAAUGGUAGAGUUAAUAGUGAUAUUUAGAAUAUUUUGUUUAUUUGCAUUAUAAUUUGU